AACGAACGCUGGCGGCAGGCCUAACGCAUGCAAGUCGAGCGAAGCCUUCGGGCUUAGCGGCGGACGGGUGAGUAACGCGUGGGAACGUGCCCUUUGGUACGGAAUAGCCCCGGGAAACUGGGAGUAAUACCGUAUGUGGUCGAGAGACGAAAGAUUUAUCGCCGAAGGAUCGGCCCGCGUUGGAUUAGGUAGUUGGUGGGGUAAUGGCCUACCAAGCCGACGAUCCAUAGCUGGUUUGAGAGGAUGAUCAGCCACACUGGGACUGAGACACGGCCCAGACUCCUACGGGAGGCAGCAGUGGGGAAUCUUAGACAAUGGGGGAAACCCUGAUCUAGCCAUGCCGCGUGAUCGAUGAAGGCCUUAGGGUUGUAAAGAUCUUUCAGUGGGGAAGAUAAUGACUGUACCCACAGAAGAAGCCCCGGCUAACUCCGUGCCAGCAGCCGCAGUAAGAC
rnacentral:rRNA from 1 species